GGAGGGGUGGCAGAGUGGUCGAUUGCGACGGUCUUGAAAACCGUUGGAAGUGAAAGCUUUCCGGGGGUUCGAAUCCCUCCCCCUCCGCCA
rnacentral:tRNA from 1 species